rnacentral:rRNA from 1 species
AGAGUUUGAUCCUGGCUCAGGAUGAACGCUGGCGGCGUGCCUAAUACAUGCAAGUCGAACGGGAAGACCAAUUUCGAUUGGUUGGAGAGUGGCGCACGGGUGAGUAACACGUAGCUAACCUGCCCUGAAGACCGGGAUAACGCCUCGAAAGGGGUGCUAAUACCGGAUAAGCUCACAUUGAGUAGGUAGAGGUGAGAAAAAGUUCAGGCGCUUUGGGAGGGGGCUGCGGCCCAUCAGGUAGUUGGUAGGGUAACGGCCUACCAAGCCGAUGACGGGUAGGGGACCUGAGAGGGUGACCCCCCACACUGGGACUGAGACACGGCCCAGACUCCUACGGGAGGCAGCAGUAAGGAAUAUUGCACAAUGGGCGCAAGCCUGAUGCAGCGACGCCGCGUGGGUGAAGAAGGUUUUCGGAUCGUAAAGCCCUUUUCUGCGUGACGAGGAAGGACGGUAGCGCAGGAAUAAGUCUCGGCUAACUACGUGCCAGCAGCCGCGGUAAAACGUAGGAGGCGAGCGUUAUCCGGAAUUACUGGGCGUAAAGCGCGUGUAGGCGGAUUACCAAGUCAUUUGUGAAAGCUCUCGGCUAAACUGGGAGAGGUCGAAUGAGACUGGUAGACUAGAGAGCAGGAGAGGGGUGCGGAAUUCCGGGUGUAGUGGUGAAAUGCGUAGAUAUCCGGAGGAACACCAGUGGCGAAGGCGGCGCCCUGGCCUGCAACUGACGCUAAGACGCGAAAGCAUGGGGAGCGAACGGGAUUAGAAACCCCGGUAGUCCAUGCCGUAAACGAUGCAUACUAGGUGUUCGAUCAGGGGAAACUCUGUUGAGUGCCGCAGCAAACGCGAUAAGUAUGCCGCCUGGGGAGUACGGUCGCAAGGCUAAAACUCAAAGGAAUUGACGGGGGCCCGCACAAGCAGCGGAGCGUGUGGUUUAAUUCGAGCCUACACGAAGAACCUUACCUGGGUUUGACAUAUAGGUAGUAGGGAAUCGAAAGAGGACCGACCUUCGGGAGCCUAUACAGGUGCUGCAUGGCUGUCGUCAGCUCGUGCCGUUAGGUGUUUGGUUAAGUCCAAAAACGAGCGCAACCCUCGGGUCUAGUUACAAGUGUCUAGACCGACUGCCGGCGACAAGCCGGAGGAAGGUGAGGAUGACGUCAAGUCAGCAUGGCCUUUAUAUCCAGGGCUACACACACGCUACAAUGGGCGGUACAAUGGGUCGCGAAGCCGCGAGGUGGAGCCAAUCCUAAAAAGCCGUUCGUAGUUCGGAUUGUAGGCUGCAACUCGCCUGCAUGAAGUCGGAGUUGCUAGUAACCGCAGGUCAGCUAUACUGCGGUGAAUACGUUCCCGGGCCUUGUACACACCGCCCGUCACGUCAUGGAAGCUGGUCACGCUUAAAGUCGGGAAGCUAACCUAACGGAGGCUACCGCCAAAGGCAGGGCCGGUGACUGGGACGAAGUCGUAACAAGGUA